rnacentral:rRNA from 1 species
UCAGGUUCGGAAUAACAGCGAGAAAUUGCUGCUAAUACCGGAUGAUAUCGCGAGAUCAAAGAUUUAUCGCCUGAGGAUGAGCCCGCGUAGGAUUAGCUAGUUGGUGUGGUAAAGGCGCACCAAGGCGACGAUCCUUAGCUGGUCUGAGAGGAUGAUCAGCCACACUGGGACUGAGACACGGCCCAGACUCCUACGGGAGGCAGCAGUGGGGAAUAUUGGACAAUGGGCGAAAGCCUGAUCCAGCAAUGCCGCGUGAGUGAUGAAGGCCUUAGGGUUGUAAAGCUCUUUUACCCGGGAUGAUAAUGACAGUACCGGGAGAAUAAGCUCCGGCUAACUCCGUGCCAGCAGCCGCGGUAAUACGGAGGGAGCUAGCGUUAUUCGGAAUUACUGGGCGUAAAGCGCACGUAGGCG